rnacentral:lncRNA from 1 species
CCACGUUCUGCCUAAAGACUAGAACUUAUUUGACUGAGGUAGAAACUAAACAAAGACCAAUUCAAACUAAACGACAACUUAUUCAAAUACCCAACAAUCCCUCCCUUAAGCUAAGUCACCCAACCUUAGCUUACUUCAGAAAUGUCGAUCACUACAAGCUUUCUACGAAGCUUCUCAAACUGCUCUAGCUUCAAUGGCUUUGUAAAAAUGUCUGCAAUCUGAUUCUCUGUUGGACAGUGACAUAGCUUAACAAUACCACCAUUCACCAAGUCUCUGAGAUAAUGAAACCUUACUUCAAUAUGCUUGCUCUUCCCAUGAAAAACUGGAUGCUUAGACAACUGAAUAGUAGAGCUGUUGUCGCACAUAAUCACCGUUUCUGCUUAUUCCUCAAACCCAAUCUGCUCAUGUACCCUUCUGAGCCAAACACACUGACAUGCACAUGAAGCUGCUGCUAUGUAUUCUGCUUCAGUAGUAGAAAGAGCAACCACUGAUUGUUUUUUUGAUGCCCAUGAGACUGCUCCCGAAGCCAUCAUAAACGCAAACCCAGAAGUGCUUCUUCUAUCAUCUAAGUCACCAGCAUAGUCACUAUCCGUGUAUGCCAUCAGAUUCAAAACACCUUCUCCUCUUUUGUAGAGAAUCCCCAGCUCCAUUGUGCCUUUUAGAUACCUUAAAAUCCUCUUUGCUGCAAGCCAAUGCGACAGCCUGGGAUUAGCCAUAAACCUGCUUAUCAAACAAACCCCAUACAUCAGAUCCGGUCUCGUCACCGUUAAAUACAUGAGGCUUCCCACCACUUGUUUAAACAGAGUUUCGUCGACUUUGACACCGUUCUCAUCUUUCUGCAAUUUUGUGCCUGGUACGAUAGGAUUUUGAACAGAAUUGCAUUCCUCUAUGCCGAACCUUGCCAAAACCUCACGUGCAUAUCUUCGUUGACAGAUGUGGAUGCCGUCAUGAUUCUGUUUCACCUCAACACCAAGAAAAUGCUUCAUCUUACCUAAAUCAGACAUCUCAAAUUCUCGCAUCAUUGAAUUCUUAAACUCAUCACACAUGCUUUGAUUGUUCCCAGUAAAUAUCAAAUCAUCAACAUAGAGGCUGACAAUUAGUAAAUUACCUCCCUUUGAUUUUGUAAACAGCGUGUGCUCACUGGAACAUCUCUCAAAACUUUCUCGCUGAAAGUAUGCUUCAAUCCUGCUAUACCAAGCAUGGGGCGCCUGUUUAAGCCCGUACAAUGCUUUCUUCAAUUUGUAAACUUUCUCUUCUUCUCCCUUGAUUACAAACCCUUCAGGUUGCCUGACAUAGACAUCCUCCUUGAGUUCUCCGUGCAGAAAAGCACUUUUAACAUCGAGUUGGAAGACCUCCCACCUUGAAUGCGCAGCUAUUGCAAGGAUUGUACGAAUGGUAUCAAGUCUUGCGACCGGAGCGAAUAAAUCAGUAUAAUCCACGCCAUAACACUGCGCAUAUCCCUUUGCGACCAACCUCGCUUUGUAUUUCUCAACUUUGCCAGCUUCAUUGAACUUGGUUUUGUACACCCACUUAACUCCAAUUGGCGUGAACCCCUCAGGUAAUGAAGUAAGCUCCCAUGUGUGAUUCUUUUCAAUGGAUUCAAUCUCACUUACCAUCGCAUCUUUCCAGAUUUGUUGUUUUACCGCCUCUUGAAACAGAAUUGGAUCGUUGUCUUCUACCAUCAUCAUCACCAUUAGCACAUUGAGAUUGUUAUCUUCUUCAUCACCAUCUCCUGUAUCGUAUUCCUCCAAAUAACCUGGUGCCCUUCUCACACGAGUAUCCCUCAAUUGGAUUGAACUUCCUUCAUCAAUAGAUGAAUUUGUUGGUCUCGGAGGUGAGAGUGGCCUUACACGUGACGGUGAAUUUUGGUUUUGUCCAGCUGACACAGCUCCCUCUUCUUCAUUCCGAUUAUCUUCCUCAUCACCAGAUUCUAAUUCAUCUUCUCUUUUCUCUUCUUCAGAUAUUCUCCAAUCCCAUUCUUUUCCUUCUUCAAAAAUAACGUCUUUGCUCACCACAAUUUUCUUUGAAACUAGAUCGUACAAUCUCCACGCUUUAGACUCGUCACUAAUGCCCAGAAAAAAAAACGCAUCUCUUGCUCUUAUCAUAUAAUUUUCCCCUUUUCUGAUCUGGUAUAUGGACAUGAGCAACACAGCCGAAGACCCGAAAAUACUCCAGUACUGGUUUCUUUCCACUCCAUGCCUCUUCUGGAGUCAUCUCUUCAACUGCUGUAGUAGGGCUUUGGUUUUGAAUAUGAACACACCACCGAGUUGAUUCAGACCAGAAUGCUUUCGGAACCCGUCGUUCACUCAGCAUAGAUCGAACUGCGUUCAUAAUGGUUCUGUUUUUCCUCUCUGCGACUCCGUUUUGUUGGAGAGUGUAGGCUGCUGUCAGUUGUCUGUUGAUUCCAUGAUUUUUACAGAACUCUGCAAACUCAGCUGAGUUGAACUCACCACCACGAUCUGUUUUUAGGCACAUUAUAGAUUCUCCUAUCUCCUUCUCCACACUGGCUUUGAACAUUUUGAAGGCAGCAAAGGCUUCUGAUUUUUCAUGUAAGAAGUAUACCCAUGUUUUGCGAGUGAAAUCAUCAAUAAAACUCAGGAUAUACCUCUUACCACUGUGUGAGACUGGUGUGAUGGGACCGCAUAUGUCAGAGUGCACCAGUUGGAGUUUUUUUGAAGCUCUCCACGAACUUCUUUUUGGCAUCGACUCUCUGUGUUGUUUUCCUGUUAAGCAAACAACACACACUUUCUUCGUUGUCUGCAAAGAAGGCAAGCCAACCACCAUAUUCUUCUGAGACAACAUCUUCAAACCAUCAUAAUUCAAGUGCCCGAAGCGACAGUGCCACAGGUGAACUUCUUCAUCACGUGCUUCUUCAGUUUGCAGACACAUUGAAUUCUUUGAGACUCUUGAUGCAAGCAGAUAAAACAUUAUGUUUCCACUCAUAUUUGUCUACAUAAUCACUCCCCUACUAGGAUGGAAAACUCUGCAAGUUCCAUUCUGAAUUAAAAUAGCUAAUCCUUUUUCUUGAAGCUGCCCGAUGCUUAACAAAUUGUUUUUGAGCUCAGGAAUGUAAUAAACAUCGGAUAUUACAUGGGUGAGUCCAUUAACUUGUGCUCUUACACUCCCUUUUGCUGUUACUGCCAUUUUUGUCCCGUUACCAAGCUUCACUGUGUGGUUGAAAUCUUCUUCUAAAUCAGAGAACCAGCCUUUGUCUCCUGUCAUGUGAUUGCUGCACCCUAAAUCCAGAAACCACACAUCUUCUUUUUUUGUUUUGUUGAGCUCCACAUAUGUCAUUAACAACACUUCUUCAUCAUCGUCCAACUCAGCGUAGUUGGCUUUCUACUCCCACUCCAGACACUUAUAUUGAAAAUGCCCCUAUGACAUUUGUAGCAUUCGAUGAGUGCUUUGGUUUGACCACCAGUUCGCCCUCUACCUCUACCUUUACCUCCUUGAUAUGCACCUCGACCCCUUCCUUGCCAUAUUUCUCAUCUUGAGAAACUUUCAAAACUUGUUCUUCUUCUUGAGUUCCCUGCAUCCUUUGUCAUGAACCAGCAAGCUCCCAUGAAGCUCAUCGAUGCUCAGCAUGCUCAAAUCAUUUGACUCUUCUAUCGAGCAAACAACGUAAUUGAAUUUGGGAGUCAAUGAUCUGAGCACCUUUCCAACAAUUGUGCUCUGCUCCAUGAGUUCACCAUUCGUCUUCAUCUUGUUCACAAUUGCCAACGUUCUACCCAAGAACGCGUCCACCUUUUCUCCUUCCUUCAUAGCAAGCAGUUCAAACUCCUUUCUUAGUGCUUGGAGUUGUGCCCUUUUCACCUUUGUAGAUCCCUGGUACUUCUUCUUCAUCGAUUCCCAAAUCGCCUCUGAAAUACUCUUGUCAAGGAUUGUCUCCAGAAUUUCUCUAUCAAUUCCUUGAAAGAGAAAAUUCUUCACCUUUAGAUCCUUAAGCUUGGCCUCUUCCACCAGCUUCCUCUGAGCUUCACUGGCUGGCGUCAUCCCCACCGCCGCUGCAGGGAUCCCUUCAUCCACCAGAUUCUAUAUCUCUCGGCUUCGGAGAAAAUUCUUCAUCGUCAUAGACCAAUAGUCGUAAUGCCCGUCAAACUUUGGAAUUGCCGGCUGUACGAACUUCUCUGAGUUUGCCAUCUCAACUCUUUUCUCACUUUCUCACACCAAAUUGCUCCUUCGUAUGGCUCUGAUACCAAAUUUAAAAUGGAGUUACUUUGAUAACAGAUAUUAGCCAAAAGGAUAAUCCAUUCAUGAAACAAAGAUUGGCUAUAUAUAGCCUUACAACAAGAACCGAAAUAUCAGGAACAAACUUGCUACGACUACUCCACUUUCUGCCUAAAGACUAGAACUUAUUUGACUGAGGUAGAAACUAAACAAAGACCAAUUCAAACUAAACGACAUUGUUUUGUCCGAGGCCAAAAUUUUUAUGACGGUGAACCCAGAUCUGCUCACCAUGUUUCUCAACGGAUCUAUCUGGGAAAUGGGCAAGAGAAUAUUGCCUCAAUCAACAGAGAAUCGAUUGAAGAUUAAUUAGAUGCGGAAGUUUCGUUCUCUCAUGUAUCUCCAGUUUGAUUGGAGACGACGAAGAAGAGAAAAUAAACCCGAAGAGAAGGAAAUUAGUUCGAAUGAGACUAAUACAGUAAAGUUGAAUUCGAUCUGAAUUUCUUUCUUUUUUGUGCAUUGUGUUUUUUGUUAUUUAAUUCUUUCCAAAAGAACUAAGAUUUGUUAUGUAGUGUAAGCUCCACAUAUGCCUAUGCUUUUUUGUUUUGUCUAUGAAUAUAUUUCAAUGUAAAGCCUAUACAAUUUCAC